UGGACAGGUGGUGAUUUACUAGUGCAGCUCAUACACUUGGGUUACAUGUAAUCCAAAAGCUAAACAGAGAGAGGAGAAGAUUCUCCCCUUCCAGAAGACCACCAUGGGACCUUAUUUCAGAAGGAAAUAUUCACAGAAGCGAAUGGUGUAUAAAGGAGGUGUUAAUCACCAGUGCUCACCUGUGUCUGGUGUCCCGGUUCCUGAUAAUAAGCCGUAGAAGAGCAUUUCAAAGGAGAAAAGAGAAGGUCACUUGCCCUUCCUCAUGUGUCACUGGUCUGACGUCUCCCCUGACUCCCUGAUUGUGUCCACCUGUUCCCCGUCACCCUCAUGUGUCUUAUAGUCUGCGUCUCCCAUUGUCUUGUUGCCUGAGUGUUUCGUUUUAGUCGUGCGCCUCAGCCAGUCUCGCAGCCCUCGUCUUGUCCCAAGCCACGUUUGUAUUUCUGAAUCCUUUCUUCCUCUUUGAAGAGAGAUUUUUUUUUUUUUUUGCUGGUAAUUUUCUCAGCUCAGUUUGUAGAUGUGUUAAGUUUAUAGGCGUUUUGUUUGCCUCUGUUGGAGUGAUCUUUUGUUUCAUAAGUUUUACAGCUCAGCCGUGUAGCGUAGAUUGAGUUUGUAGCUGAUUUGUCUUCCUCCAGUAGAGUGUUUUUUGCUGUAAUUUUUCAGAGCCUAGUCUCAUAGAGUAGUUUAGUUCAUAGCCUUUUUCUUUGCCUCCUGUGGAGUGAUUUUUUUGUUUACUUAAUUUUGCCUUGAGGUCUUUUGCCUCCAUGUUUUGGUUUGUGUGUUUUUGUCUCCUAGUAGUUCACUGUAUGCCGAGAAUAGAAUAUUUUCAUAGCCUGUUUUGUCACUCUAAGAGAAGAGUUUUUCAGAAUAAAUCCUGUCUUAAC